rnacentral:tRNA from 1 species
AAUGAAUUGCCUGAAAAAGGAUUACCUUGAUAGGGUAAAACAUGUAAUUUUAAUAGUUACAUUCAUUA